rnacentral:rRNA from 1 species
ACGGGGGGAGCAAGCGUUGUUCGGAAUCACUGGGCUUAAAGGGCGCGUAGGCGGGCUGCCAAGUCUGGGGUGAAAUCCCACGGCUCAACCGUGGAACUGCCUCGGAUACUGGCGGCCUCGAGGGAGGUAGGGGCGUGCGGAACUGUGGGUGGAGCGGUGAAAUGCGUUGAUAUCCACAGGAACUCCGGUGGCGAAAGCGGCGCGCUGGACCUCUUCUGACGCUGAGGCGCGAAAGCUAGGGGAGCAAACGGGA